AGAUAAGAACCCUGUAAUUACCAAGGUGGCGUCCGCUCAGCGCCAACAGCCUCAUUUUGGCUCAUGAAACCUAGUCCAAUUGGAUGUGCUUUCCCAAGACUUGCUGCCCUUUUCUGUUGUUAAUGUUUCGAGACAGGGUCAUGCAAUGGAUUCCAGGCUGGCUUGUAAACCGUCUAUUCCCUCUGGAGUGUGCCACGGGGUGAAGAUGAGAACGGCUGCUCUCGCUCCUGGUUUGCCAGUUCGUCCUGUGAUUUAAUUAACUGCAAAAAGCGUCUGGGUAAGAAGACGCGGCCCGGAAUAUUACAAUAAGAAGGAUUCUGUCCAUGUUGACUGAAGAAAAGAAAAUAAAAAUUGGCGCUGUAAACGGAGAACCCGAAAUUCUGUUUAGGUUUGCAUGAUUCCUGGUUUCUGCCAGGGCUAAAAGACUGAAAAUCGGUCCGUGCCGGAAGGAAAAGCCGUGCUGAGAGGACACACAGAUCGUCUCUUUUCCCUCAGCAGAACAGCAAUAAAACAGCGUAUUCAUCCUU